rnacentral:rRNA from 1 species
GGACCUGCGGCUUAAUUUGACUCAACACGGGGAAACUCACCAGGUCCGGACACAACUAGGAUUGACAGAUUGAUAGCUCUUUCUUGAUUUUGUGAUUGGUGGUGCAUGGCCGUUCUUAGCUCGUGGGAUGACUUGUCUGCUCGACUGCGAUAACGAGCGAGACCGAUACCUGCUAAAUAGUCUACUCGGCUUUGGCUGGGGAUUUUUAGACUUCUUAGAGGGACCGCCGGUUUUAAGCCGGAGGAGGUUAGCGUCAAUAACAGGUCUGUGAUGCCCUUAGAUGUUCUGGGCCGCACGCGCGUUACACUGGUCGAGCCAGCGAGUGUUUUCCUUGGCCGGUGGGCCUGGGUAAUCUUGUGAAACUCGACCGUGCUGGGGAUAGAGCAUUGCAAUUAUUGCUCUUCAACGAGGAAUUCCUAGUAGAUGCUUUUCAUCAGAAAGCGUCGAUUACGUCCCUGCCCUUUGUACACACCGCCCGUCGCUACUACCGAUCGAAUGGCUUAGUGAGGUCUUUGGACUGCCUUGGUCUGGCUGGCAACGGCUGGACUCUGGCGGGAAGUUGAUCAAACUUGGUCAUUUAGAGGAAGUAAAAGUCGUAACAAGGUCUCCGUAGGUGAACCUGCGGAGGGAUCAUUGAAGGUCGACUUGCCGUUCGUCGGCUCGUCUUCACUCUCAUCCCUUUGUGGAAAGAAACAGAUUUCUUUGGCGAAGGUUUAAGUUACCUUCGUCGAAGGUUUUUCAAAAUUCAAAUUUUUAUUCGUUUGUCAGACUACAAAUGCAAGAAACAAAUAUAAAAAACUUUCAACAACGGAUCUCUUGGCUCUCGUAUCGAUGAAGAACGCAGCGAGAUGCGAUACGUAGUGUGAAUUGCAGAUUUUUGUGGAUCAUCGAGUUUUUGAACGCAUAUUGCGCCUUCUGCUGAGGAAGGCAUACCUGUUUGAGCGUUGUUUUGAACUACCUCGCGCUUAAGCUUGCGCGGUUUUGGGCUUUGCUCCUCGAACGAGGGGAGCAUCGCCUCGAAAUCAUUCGACUCUUACCUUCAGUCAGAGCAAGUGGCAAAGGAUUUUCUUGGAAAUUGGUUUGUCAUCUUGUGCACUCGAGGGAGUUUUGGUCGUUAAACCUUCGAAAUCCUAGAGUUCAACCUCAGAUCAGGUAAGAAGACCCGCUGAACUUAAGCAUAUCAAUAAGCGGAGGAAAAGAAACCAACCGGGAUUCCCUCAGUAGUGGCGAACGAAGAGGGAGAAGCUCAACCUUGAAAUCUGGCGAGUUCCUCGUCCGAGUUGUGGGUUGUGGAGGUGUGGUCGGUCGAAGCUUGGGUCCAAGUCCUUUGGAACAAGGCGUCAAGGAGGGUGAGAACCCCGUUUAUGGCUCGAUGCCUUCGACCACUGUGUCCCGCCUUCUGAGAGUCGAGUUGUUUGGGAAUGCAGCUCAAAAUGGGAGGUAAAUUCCUUCUAAAGCUAAAUAUCGACGAGAGACCGAUAGCGCACAAGUACAGCUAUGGGCAGAUGAAAAGCACUUUGAAAAGAGGGUGAAACAGUGCGUGAAAUUGUUGAAAGGGAAGCGUUUGGUGUCAGCCCACGGCGUUGAAAGGGCCCCCAGUUUAGGCUGGCGGUAGCCCCUCGAUGCUGGGCCAGCGUCGGUUCUCGAGUGCAGGAAAAAGGUCGUGAGAAUGUGGUUCUCUUCGGGGAGCGUUAUAGCUCGCGACGCCAUACUGUCUUGGGGACCGAGGUUCGCGGCGACUUAGCCAAGGACGCUGGCGUAAUGGUUCCAAGCGACCCGUCUUGAAACACGGACCAAGGAGUCUAACAUCCAUGCGAGUGUUUGGGUGGAAAGCCCGUACGCGUAAUGAAAGUGAUACAGCAGGCGAGAACCGCAAGGUGCAUCGUCCACCGGUCCGGAGGUUUACCGAAGGAUCUGAGUAGGAGCAUGGCUGUUGGGACCCGAAAGAUGGUGAACUAUGCCUGAACAGGGUGAAGCCAGGGGAAACUCUGGUGGAGGCUCGUAGCGAUUCUGACGUGCAAAUCGAUCGUCUGAUUUGGGUAUAGGGGCGAAAGACUAAUCGAACCC